rnacentral:rRNA from 1 species
AGGACUACCCGCUGAACUUAAGCAUAUCANUAAGCGGAGGAAAAGAAACUAACAAGGAUUCCCCUAGUAACUGCGAGUGAAGCGGGAAAAGCUCAAAUUUAAAAUCUGGUAGUCUUUGGCUGCCCGAGUUGUAAUCUAGAGAAGUGUUAUCCGCGCUGGACCGUGUACAAGUCUCCUGGAAUGGAGCGUCAUAGAGGGUGAGAAUCCCGUCUUUGACACGGACUACCAGGGCUUUGUGAUGCGCUCUCAAAGAGUCGAGUUGUUUGGGAAUGCAGCUCUAAAUGGGUGGUAAAUUCCAUCUAAAGCUAAAUAUUGGCGAGAGACCGAUAGCGAACAAGUACCGUGAGGGAAAGAUGAAAAGAACUUUGGAAAGAGAGUUAAACAGUACGUGAAAUUGUUGAAAGGGAAACGCUUGAAGUCAGUCGCGUUGGCCAGGGAUCAACCUUGCUUUCUGCUUGGUGUACUUUCUGGUUGAUGGGUCAGCAUCAAUUUUGACCAGUGGAAAAAGAUCAGAGGAAUGUGGCAUCUUCGGAUGUGUUAUAGCCUUUGGUUGUAUACAUUGGUUGGGAUUGAGGAACUCAGCACGCCGCAAGGCCGGGUGUAAACCACGUUCGUGCUUAGGAUGCUGGCAUAAUGGCUUUAAUCGACC